AGCAGUUGAAAGCAGCCGAAGCUAAGCUGAAGAAACCAAGAUCACCAGGAGAACAGCGAGUGGUUGGUGCAAGUAAUGGACCGAUGUCAGACAUGGAACGACUGGAACUUUUUGAAAAACUAGAGAAAGCGGAAGGACGGAUUGUUGUUUUUGACAAACAGGUG